UGGGGAAUCUUGCGCAAUGGGCGAAAGCCUGACGCAGCAACGCCGCGUGGGGGAUGAAGGCUCUCGGGUUGUAAACCCCUUUCAGCAGGGACGAAACUGACGGUACCUGCAGAAGAAGCCCCGGCCAACUACGUGCCAGCAGCCGCGGUAACACGUAGGGGGCGAGCGUUGUCCGGAUUUAUUGGGCGUAAAGAGCUCGUAGGCGGUUCGGUAAGUCGGGUGUGAAACCUCCAGGCUCAACCUGGAGACGCCACCCGAUACUGCUGUGACUUGAGUCCGGUAGGGGAGCGUGGAAUUCCUGGUGUAGCGGUGAAAUGCGCAGAUAUCAGGAGGAACACCAGCGGCGAAGGCGGCGCUCUGGGCCGGAACUGACGCUGAGGAGCGAAAGCGUGGGUAGCAAAC
rnacentral:rRNA from 1 species